UUAGAGUUUGAUCCUGGCUCAGGAUGAACGCUAGCGACAGGCCUAACACAUGCAAGUCGAGGGGUAACAGGGGCUUCGGCCCGCUGACGACCGGCGCACGGGUGAGUAACGCGUAUGCAACCUGCCUGUAACAGCGGGAUAGCUCCCUGAAAGGGGAAUUAACACCGCAUAAGACCACGCUCUCGCAUGGGGACGGGGUAAAAUAUUUAUAGGUUACAGAUGGGCAUGCGUGACAUUAGUUAGUUGGUGAGGUAACGGCUCACCAAGGCGACGAUGCGUAGCCGACCUGAGGGGGUGAUCGGCCACAUUGGGACUGAGACACGGCCCAGACUCCUACGGGAGGCAGCAGUGAGGAAUAUUGGACAAUGGAUGGAAAUCUGAUCCAGCCAUGCCGCGUGCAGGAAGACGGCCUUAUGGGUUGUAAACUGCUUUUAUACGGGAGCAAUAAGGGUUACGAGUAAUCCGAUGAGAGUACUGUAUGAAUAAGGAUCGGCUAACUCCGUGCCAGCAGCCGCGGUAAUACGGAGGAUCCGAGCGUUAUCCGGAAUUAUUGGGUUUAAAGGGUGCGUAGGCGGCCAUUUAAGUUUGAGGUGUAAGUUCAAGGCUCAACCUUGUGAUGCUUCAAAAACUGGAUGGCUUGAGAGAGGUAGAGGCAAGUGGAAUUCCAUGUGUAGCGGUAAAAUGCGUAAAUAUAUGGAGGAACACCAGUGGCGAAGGCGGCUUGCUGGGCCUUAUCUGACGCUGAGGCACGAAAGCGUGGGGAGCAAACAGGAUUAGAUACCCUGGUAGUCCACGCCGUAAACGAUGAGUACUAAGUGUCGGGACAACCCGGUGCUGCAGUUAACGCAUUAAGUACUCCGCCUGAGUAGUACGUGCGCAAGCAUAAAACUCAAAGGAAUUGGCGGGACCUCGCACAAGCGGUGGAUCAUGUUGUUUAAUUCGAUGAUACGCGAGGAACCUUACCUGGGUUUAAAUGGGGAGUGACAGGCUUGGAAACAGGCCCUUCUUCGGACACUCUUCAAGGUGCUGCAUGGUUGUCGUCAGCUCGUGCCGUGAGGUGUCGGGUUAAGUCCCAUAACGAGCGCAACCCCUAUCGAUAGUUACCAGCACGUUACGGUGGGGACUCUAUCGAGACUGCCGGUGUAAACCGUGAGGAGGGUGGGGAGGACGUCAAAUCAGCACGGCCCUUACAUCCAGGGCUACACACGUGUUACAAUGGCCGGUACAAAGGGCAGCUACACAGCGAUGUGAUGCUAAUCUCCAAAUCCGGUCUCAGUUCGGAUCGAAGUCUGCAACCCGACUUCGUGAAGCUGGAUUCGCUAGUAAUCGCGCAUCAGCCAUGGCGCGGUGAAUACGUUCCCGGGCCUUGCACACACCGCCCG
rnacentral:rRNA from 1 species